rnacentral:rRNA from 1 species
UGGGGAAUAUUGGACAAUGGGGGAAACCCUGAUCCAGCGACGCCGCGUGUGCGAAGAGGGCCUGCGGGUUGUAAAGCACUUUUAGUGGGGACAAAAAGUCACGGGCUAAUAACUUGUGAUCUUGAUUUAACUCACAGAAAAAGCACCGGCUAACUCUGUGCCAGCAGCCGCGGUAAUACAGAGGGUGCGAGCGUUAAUCGGAAUUACUGGGCGUAAAGCGCACGUAGACGGUUUGGUAAGUCAGAUGUGAAAUCCCCGGGCUCAACCUGGGAACUGCAUUUGAUACUGCCUGGCUAGAGUAUCGAAGAGGGAAGUGGAAUUUCCGGUGUAGCGGUGAAAUGCGUAGAUAUCGAGAAGAACACCAGCGGCGUAAGCGGCUCUCUAUCCUGAAACUGACGCUGAGGUGCGAAAGCCAGGGGAGCAAACGGG